rnacentral:misc_RNA from 1 species
ACGUCAUCCCCACCUUCCACCUUGCCGUCAAGUUCCCCACCAACCUUGGGGUCGGCAUAGUGAGGGGAGAGCAGACCGUGGCCAGAGAAUGUUAUGUCGCCUCACUCAAAGAAGUCAAGCUGAAGGAGGCUAUGAUCAUUGAAGGACUCGAUGUCAGAGACGAAGACGAGUUGGUCAGACGGGAACCAGUGAAGGAGCUCGUCGAAGUCCUUGUUGACCCAACCAACCCGACCAAAACUGCUAAGAUCGGCAACCUAUCUAUCCCCCCAAGCCAAGGCCGACCUCACCGCCCUCCUGGUUGAGAACAACGACGUGUUUGCCUGGACUUACUCCGAUAUGCCGGGUAUCUAAUCCGGUU